CCCAGAGAUAAAGGAGGCAAGGUCCAGGGCAGAAUUCAAUGGAAAGGCCACUCCUUCUAUAUGAAGAAACUGAGGCUCAAAGUGGCAAGAAGAGAGUUACUAAUGGAAGUAGACAUAUGUCCCUGCCUUCAAGUCAUUUUCAGCCUAAUCAGAAAGACGAGUUUACUUAUCUUUGGAAGGACAUGCCCUGGACUCCCCCCAAUCAAGAACAGUGCUCAGAUGCUGCCUGCCUGUCCUGUCGGCAUGACCUGUAGUCAUCCCGUGCCCUCAAAAGCUUACUCAGAAUGAGCAAUACGCCCAGAACGAAUUCGUUAAUUAAUAAGGAUGCUGGGAAGUUGUAAACACAGCUGCUGGCUGCUGGCUCUGCUGCCCUGCUUGCAUGUGGCAAGUGAAGAAAUGCUGGAUGGUAACACAGGCUCAUUGUUUGGGGCUCCCAUAAUUGAACUUGACAGAAUAUCCUUGGCAGGGGAGCCAACAGCAACAUGGCAGUCUCUGCAGAGGUGCCCAGAGGCAGGACUCCUUUUUGCUUGGAGUUUCUAUUCUUAAAGCAAACCUGACAAUGAAUCUUGGAGAAGAGUGGAAAGAGAGCAGCAACCUAUUUACAAAACGACACACUUCCCAGUCACUGAUCACUUGCUUGUGGUGAGUUCCUAGAGGACACAAUAACUGACCUUUUCUUUCCAGAUGUCCUUUAGUAGUAUUUACUUAUCCUUUACCCCAAACUGGGCUAUGGCAGUUCCUCUUUCUGGAAGAAACACAUUUGUUUCUCUAGCAGACAGAAUUGCCUGAUGAGAUAGCACCUUAACUUUCCAAAAAUUCAGACUCAAAAAAUAUUUUCAGACUUACUUUUUCACAUGAACUCAAACCUUACUGAUGCUAGUUUAGAGAUGAAUAAGCUGAGGUUCAAAGAGGUUAAGCAACUUGCAUAAAGCCAAAUAAAAAGCAAGUGGCAAGUCUAAAACUUGAGUGGCAUCUUUAGUCUCUGCACCUUGUGCUUUCUCCCCUAUGCCUCACCAGGCCUUCUGGGAGAAGCAAGAACUUUUAAUGAAGUCUCAAUAUUGGCUUAGGGUGUUGGAAUCCCUCAGCAUGCCUGGAACCAAAGCUCAGAAUUGCUGAGCAGCACUUCCUGAAUCAAUAUUUGGACCAACACCCAAAGCUCACUA